ACCUGUUCCUUCUCUCUUUUUUUUUUAAUUUAUUUAUUAGCUACAAAUUUUGACUGUAGAUAUUUGAAAGGACAUUGUAGCCUGCAUUAGAUGUGUCAUAUCUUUUGUAUUUGGAGUUUAUAAGCACUUGAAAUAAUUUCUUAUAAAGGAACUUUGAUGUAAAGAAUACCAGAGAUUACUAUCUCAUACGUUAGGAACUUUAUAAACAGUAACUCAUUGCAUUGCUGUAUUUAGAUGACAUUAAUCCCUCCAUUGCUUUAUUUAAAUGCACAGUUUCUGUCUGAAUGUAAGUGUUACUGGAUUUUGCAAGUACAGUUGGGAUGAAGGGUAAAGCUGUCAGGAUGAAUCUUCUGGUAAAGUGUUCCCCAUGGAUUUCAAUUCCAGUUCGGUGGUGCUGCUUUCAUUAAUUGGUUAUGUUCAGUGCGUUUUAGGUCAGUUGGAACAAGGUCUUUUAAGUUGUGACAUUUUUUUGUAGUUUAUGAAACUACAGCACAGGCUCGUCAGUGUUGAACACCACAA
rnacentral:misc_RNA from 1 species